GCCUUCGUGGUGUAAUGGUCAGCACACUGAGCCGGUAUUUCAGAGGUCCGCAGUUCGAGUCCCGGCGAAGGCG
rfam:Stegodyphus mimosarum contig97001, whole genome shotgun sequence.